rnacentral:rRNA from 1 species
UACGUAGGGGGCAAGCGUUGUCCGGAAUCAUUGGGCGUAAAGCGCGUGUAGGCGGCUGGCUAAGUCCGCUCUGAAAGCCCGGGGCUCAACCCCGGGAGGCGGGUGGAUACUGGUCAGCUCGAGUCCGGAAGAGGAGUGUGGAAUUCCUGGUGUAGCGGUGAAAUGCGCAGAUAUCGGGAGGAACACCAAUGGCGAAGGCAGCUCGCUGGGACGGUACUGACGCUGAGACGCGAAAGCGUGGGGAGCAAACAGGG